GAGCAGGAGAAUUUUAGCACAGUCACCUACACACUCAUUUCGAUGCUCUGACCCCUUAUCCAAGCCAGUCAAAGUGUGGUCUAUGGUUUUGCAUUUUAAAGAGAUCCCUGGGUGAAUCUUGUGCAUGUUACAGGGAAGCACUGUCCUACAUCCUAUGUGACAGGCUCUCAUAGUCACCAUCAUCAUGGGAAUCUUGCACAUGUUACAGGGAAGCACUGUCCUACAUCAUAUGUGACAGGCUCUCAUAGUCACCAUCAUCACGGGAAUCUUGCACAUGUUACAGGGAAGCACUGUCCUACAUCAUAUGUGACAGGCUCUCAUAGUCACCAUCAUCACGGGAAGCUGCAUUUAGAGCAUUUAACUGUAUGGGCUCUGAAAUCAGAUGACUUAGGUUUGGGCUUGCCUCUACUUCUUACUAAGCAGAGAACUUUGGGGCAUGAUACUUAAUUUUACUAGGCUCAGUUUUAUCAUGUGUAAAUUGGAGGCAAGGGGAAAUUAUAGCAUUUUGCAUAGAAUAUUGUUUUAAGUAUGAA
rnacentral:lncRNA from 1 species